rnacentral:rRNA from 1 species
AUUGAACGCUGGCGGCAUGCCUUACACAUGCAAGUCGAACGGCAGCACGGGCGCUUGCUCCUGGUGGCGAGUGGCGAACGGGUGAGUAAUACAUCGGAACGUGCCCGGACGUGGGGGAUAACUACUCGAAAGAGUGGCUAAUACCGCAUACGAUCCAAGGAUGAAAGCGGGGGAUCGCAAGACCUCGCGCGUUUGGAGCGGCCGAUGGCAGAUUAGGUAGUUGGUGAGGUAAAGGCUUACCAAGCCUGCGAUCUGUAGCUGGUCUGAGAGGAUGAUCAGCCACACUGGGACUGAGACACGGCCCAGACUCCUACGGGAGGCAGCAGUGGGGAAUUUUGGACAAUGGGCGAAAGCCUGAUCCAGCCAUUCCGCGUGCAGGAUGAAGGCCCUCGGGUUGUAAACUGCUUUUGUACGGAACGAAAAGGCUCUUGCUAAUACCAGGAGUCCAUGAC